CGGUCUCGAGAACAGAAGUCACCAGUUAAUAGCCAAUAUCACCAAACUCAACAGAGAAAAUAAAGAGUUGUGGGAAUGGUUUUGUGGAUGUGUGAGGCCAAAUAAGAAGCCGAGGAAAUGUAAAAACCUGGAUCAGUUUUAAGGGACUGGGAGAGGGAAACUGGCAUAGUGCUGACCACACAGAGGUACCAGUAUGUCACACAAGAUAAAGAUGAUUAUGGUGGAGUCUUUUUAGUACAUAAUGUGCCAGAAGAAUUUACUGAAAACAAUCAGUUUCCAAAUUCUGUCACUGUUAUGAUUCACUGUUACAUUGGUGCAUUUCUCUUUCAAAUGAAUGUUUACAUAAUACUGUUAAUCUGUAGAGUUGGUUACCAGGCCUGGUUAUCCACCUGUACUUUGGAGCUUUGUUCCUUCAUCUCAAUAAAUAUGUUUUUGAGUAAUAGCAGCACACCCCUCUGUUCUACAAAAUAUAUUUGUUGGUCAAACUACAGAUUUGCUUUGUCAGCUAUUACUGCUGCCUGGGUUAUAUUCACUGGUGACGUUUCAUUUCUUCUUUUAUUUUUAUACUGCACAAAAGCCACUUUGAGGUUGUCAGUGUGAAUGGUUGCCAGGCUCAUUAACCCAUCAGAGACCACUGACUCAGGUUUGUGUCCUUCAUCCCACAUGUUGUUAGGUUUGAACUACUUUGCAGAUACUUCA